GGUAAACCGGCUCCUUUUAUGAAUGCUUACUUUUGGCGGGCACGCGUUAGGUUUUAAAAAAAAUGUGAAAGGUUCUGCAAUAUAGUUUCAGCUCUCUCAUUUUAAGUACUUGCCUUUCAAGGUUCACGCAUAUGAUUCAAGGCUGAUUAUUGGACAACCCCAAAUGUCUACAAAAUGAAGACAAUUAAAGAAGUGAAGUGGAGAAAUGCAGAGAAAUUCAAUAUACAUCGACUCUUUGACAUGCGUAAACAUGGUGAUCGAAUAUCAUUUCCUUUCAAGGGAGUAUUGCUUGGUCAAGUUUUCGUGUUUACUGCUGGAAUUUUUGGUGCUGGUUUAGUUGGGUGGUUUUUGUCUCUGAAAGAUGGAAAUUUUCCAUGGAUGAAUAUGUUGGGCAGAUUUAUGCCUGGGAGGAAACAUUCUUUGGAUAAGUUAUGCUUUGUACCAGGGCUGCAAAAUAUGGGCAACAAUUGCUUCUUAAAUGUAAUUUUACAGGCCUUGGCUAGUUGCUGUCGCUUCCAUGCUUUCCUACAAAAUCUGAUACAUGCGGAUGAUUCAAUACUGGAGAAAAGACUAGAAGACAUGCCUCUAACUGCAUCAUUAUUCACAUUGUUGGAAGAGCUAUCUGCCCUUCGAGCAGAAAGAACGAUUUCUAGUCCACUAAAGGUGAUGCACGCCAUGAGCCUUUAUGUUUCAAGUUUUGACUUAACAAGACAGCAGGAUGCUGCAGAAGCUCUCCUGUAUCUAUUAUCUGCUUUGAAAGAGGAAUAUAUCGAAAGUUGCGAACCAGACGGUGGUUCCCUGGCAGAUAUAUGUUCUUUUUCUCAUCGUUUACAUUUGAGCUCAAAAGAGAGGGAGAGCCACCAUGAUCGGCAAAGGUGGCAGGAAAAUUUCCGUGGUCCCUUUGAUGGAACCCUUGGCAGUUUUUUGGGUUGUAAAAGAUGUUCAUUUCAGCUUUCUAUUGAUUUCGAGUUUUUCCACUGCUUGCCGCUCUCACCUGUGCUGGAUAUGGAUGGGGAAAUUGUGGUGGGAUGUACCAUUGAUGACUGCCUUAGGAAGCUUAUUGCUGCAGAACAGAUAGAAAAUUACCAUUGCAACCAUUGCUUUCAUAUGGCUGCUAUAAAAUAUUUUGGUCUCAAAAUGGAUGGGAACGAGGCAUUGAUACAUAAACUAAGGAGUUGCACUAAUUACGAUGAGUGUAAAUGCAAAGAUAUUCUUCUACAGAAGGGGGUACCUUGUUUUACCAAUUUUUCAUGUGUGAUGAAGCAAUUGAGCAUUGGACGUUGCCCAGAGAUUUUGUGCAUCCAUUUGCAACGUGCAUCAGUGGAUGAGUAUGGCAAUUCAGUCAAACUGUUGGGCCACAUUUCUUUUCCUCCUAUCUUGCACUUCUUCCCCUACACAGCUGCAGGUGUGAGCCUGGGAUCAGAAAUCCCUGAAAGAAAUAUGGUACUUGAUCUCAAGCAUCGGAUGUGCCAGCAAACUCCAGUCGUUCCAUGCUUGGAUUUCCAUUCUGGGCGGUUAGAAGGCCAAGCUCCGUAUCAUAAUUUCAGUGAUGUUGAAGACCAAACAUCCAUGGCUGCUUUUUAUGAAAGUGGUGUGGAUAUGGCUAUUUGUGAACCAUUUAGCCAUUCCUAUUGUACCAAUGCUUCAGGUUCAGGAGAUAAGAUGAGUGCACGGGUCAAUAGAUUUAUGUCACAGUGCCUUCCAGCGGCUCUCCUGGCCUAAUUCGACGAUGGACUACUACGACCUUGGUCUCAACUCUCGGGGUUACCUCUAAAUGGAGUGGAAAUAGAUUUUCAAGGCAACAUGAGGGCUUUUGGGAUUGGAACUGCACCUUCAAGCGAGGUUUGGAGGUGCAUGUUACUUUGAUUUUUGAAGGUGGACGCCAUGUAUAAACUGCACCCUCUAUAUAUACACCUAUGAGAGAGAGAGAGAGAGAGAGAGAGAGAGUGUGUGUCUUAUGUAACGAGCCUGUGUAAUGAUAAGCCUGUCAGACACGCAUGUUUUGGUGGUCUCACGUAGGUGUUUGUCCAACUCAUGUCUUGACACGGGAGACUUUUCUGAUGCUUUUGGGAGGUGUAUCAUGGUGUCUUGAAAUUCUUUUGAGUCAUGAUACACAUUAUGUCUCAAUAAGACACGUCCAAAUUCUGAACACAUGCUUCCAGAUGCAUGUGUACAUCAUUAUGAGCCCGUGCCUAAGACUGCUCACCUGUGUAAUAGUUUUAGUCAGUUCUAUUCUUAGCUAAUUAAUUUAAUUUUACUUGCAAAGCCAUGUUAUAUACCCUGACAUCUCAGAAUUUUAUGAAUAUGUAUGUGACAUAUGAUUUUUGGAGCUACCAUGUCAGACACUGUGGCCACUCUGAGCAUGACACGUGUGUCCAUGUCCUUAUUAAAUAGCCCUACUUCUUUUCUUGGCUCGAGGAUCAAAAACUUUGUGUAUGUUGUAUAAUAGGAUGGCUCUCUUUCUGGAACCUU